rnacentral:rRNA from 1 species
CGCGGCCUAUCAGCUUGUUGGAGAGGUAACGGCUCACCAAGGCAUCGACGGGUAGCUGGUCUGAGAGGAUGAUCAGCCACACUGGGACUGAGACACGGCCCAGACUCCUACGGGAGGCGGCAGUGGGGAAUCUUGCACAAUGGGCGAAAGCCUGAUGCAGCAACGCCGCGUGCGGGAAGAAGGCCCUAGGGUUGUAAACCGCUUUCAGCAGGGAAGAAAAUGACGGUACCUGUAGAAGAAGGUGCGGCCAACUACGUGCCAGCAGCCGCGAUGACACGUAGGCACCAAGCGUUAUCCGGAUUUAUUGGGCGUAAAGAGCUCGUAGGCGGUUCGGUAAGUCGGGUGUGAAAACUUGAGGCUCAACCUCAAGAGGCCACCCGAUACUGCUGUGACUCGAGUGCGGUAGGGGAGCGGGGAAUUCCUGGUGUAGCGGUGAAAUGCGCAGAUAUCAGGAGGAACACCAGUGGCGAAGGCGCCGCUCUGGGCCGUAACUGACGCUGAGGAGCGAAAGCGUGGGUAGCAAACAGGAUUAGAUACCCUGGUAGUCCACGCCGUAAACGUUGGGCACUAGGUGUGGGUCUCAACCAACGAGAUCCGCGCCGUCGCUAACGCAUUAAGUGCCCCGCCUGGGGAGUACGG